UCUGCAGCUCGACUACAUGAAGCUGGAAUCGCUAGUAAUCGCGAAUCAGAAUGUCGCGGUGAAUACGUUCCCGGGUCUUGUACACACCGCCCGUCACACCAUGGGAGUCAGUAACGCCCGAAGUCUGUGAGCUAACCUUUUAGGAGGCAGCAGUCGAAGGUGGGGGUUGAUGAUUGGGGUGAAGUCGUAACAAGGUACC
rnacentral:rRNA from 1 species